CUUGUAAAGAAAGUGUUUUCUGAAAAUCUGUUUGCAAAGAAAGUGAUUUCUGCAAAGAAAGUGUUUUCUUCAAUUCUUUUAUCAAUUUGGAAGCAUUGAGAAAUUCACCAUACAAUUCAUCAUAGGUAUUUUGUAAAUCUUCAAAUGAGUGAGAGUUAGAUGUACUUACCUCUUCUUCUUCGUUUUCCAUGAGACAUAAUGCGCCGGCUUCAUUGCCCGAGCUGUCUGAGUCCCGUGAUACGC
rnacentral:lncRNA from 1 species